AUUUUUAUUAUUUUUUUCAUGUUUUUUUAUUACUACUAUUUUGUUAUUUUUAGAAAUAUACGAACAAGAGGGCAGUGAUUC
rnacentral:ribozyme from 12 species